CAUUAUAAGCUAGCUGCCAUGUAUUUCCUUCUCCAAUACCUAAACUUUACAACAGUCGGAGUCUUUGCCACACUUCUCCUUUCCUACUGUCUAUUAUUAUGGAGGUCUAGAGAAGGUAACAGCAAAAUAGCACCUGAAGCCACCGCUGCAUGGCCCAUAAUCGGUCACCUGCACCUGUUAGGUGGGUCUGAUCAGCUUCCCCACAUAACCUUGGGAAACAUGGCCGACAAAUAUGGGCCGGUCUUCACAAUUCGUCUUGGGGUGCAUCGAGCUUUGGUGGUGAGUAGCUAGGAGAUGGCUAAAGAAUGCUUGACCACCAAUGACCAGGCUGCAUCCUCGCGUCCCGAACUUUUAGCCUCAAAACAUUUGGGCUACAACCACGCCAUGUUUGGUUUCUCUCCGUACGGUUCUUACUGGCGUGAAGUGCGCAAGAUAAUCAACCUAGAGCUACUCUCUAACCGCCGCCUAGAGCUGCUGAAGGACGUCCGAGCUUCAGAAGUGGUGACAUCCAUAAAAGAGCUAUACGAGCUCUGGGAAGAGAAAAAAAAUGAAUCGGGCCUUGUCUCGGUGGAGAUGAAGCAGUGGUUUGGAGACUUGACUCUGAACGUAAUUCUUAGGAUGGUGGCAGGGAAGCGUUAUUUCAGUGCUUCAGAUGCAAGUGAAAAUAAACAGGCGCAGAGGUGCCGGAGAGUGUUCAGGGAAUUCUUUCAUUUGUAAGGGCUCUUUGCGGUGGCGGACGCUAUUCCUUUUCUUGGAUGGCUAGACUUGGGGAGACAUGAGAAGACCCUAAAGAAGACAGCAAAAGAAAUGGACAGUAUUGCUCAAGAAUGGUUAGAGGAGCACCGUCGGAGGAAAGACUCCGGUGAAGUUAAUAGUACGCAAGACUUCAUGGAUGUGAUGUUGUCAGUUCUUGAUGGCAAAAUCCUUGGUGAUUACGAUGCUGAUACCGUCAAUAAAGCCACAUGCCUAGUAUACAUUAUUGGAACACCCACAUAUCAUAUAUAUUUGCAUAUUAUCAGGGCUAGCUUUAUUUCCAUAGGUACUUCUCUUAAUUUUGAAGUGUUACACUGCAAUAAUCAAAUAAAUUUUAAAUUUUAUUUUUUAAAAAUAAAAUUUAAAAAUAUAUAUACCGCUGAAAGAAUUGAUUUCAGAAAAUUAUUCUUUGAGAGCACCUUUGAUAAACUGAGACAUGUUUCUAGGGAAUACUAAAUAUGAUGUUUUUAAAAACGGCUUAAUUUGUAAUUUUAUUUUUGAGCAAGUUGCAAAAUACUUUAUCUGCUUCCAAUUUUCAUUUUGGUCGGCAAUAAGGGGCAAUAAGGGGUUAUCCAGGUUUCCGUAGUUAUAUUUAAUUUCCCUUGUAGAAAAUAAGUGAUCUUGAAAUCAUAAGUUUAAUCAUGUUUGCUUGAAUAAGAAACUUGAAGAUCCUGUAAAGAGAUGACAUACAUCGUUUGGGCAAUAUACCUAUGUAAGAGAUGGUUGGUUUAGAAUUUUUCUCUUAAACCAUAUAUAGGAGAAAAUGGAAAAAAAAAAUACUGUUAUUUUUUUACUAGGCCAUACUAUUUAAUAGUGUCUGAAGAGAGUUUCAUUACAUGCUAUCAAACAAUUAAUUUUGUCUCAUCACCUGCGUAAUCUUAAGUUGUUAUCUUUUGUGUUUUGUAGGCUCUAAUUGUAGGAGGUAGUGACACAACAGUUGUCACUUUAACUUGGGCGCUCUCUCUUCUAUUAAAUAAUCGUGACACCUUGAAAAAGGCACAAGAAGAAUUAGAUAUUCAAGUUGGCAAGGAAAGAUUAGUGAAUGAACAAGAUAUCAGUAAAUUGGUCUAUCUCCAAGCCAUUGUUAAAGAGACAUUACGAUUAUAUCCGCCAGCGGCACUUGGAGGACCACGUCAAUUCACUGAGGACUGCACCUUGGGUGGUUACCAUGUCUCCAAAGGCACCUGAUUAAUAUUGAAUCUUUCCAAAAUCCAAAAGGAUCCAAGAAUUUGGAUGAGUCUAACAGAAUUCCAACCAGAGAGGUUUCUAACCACCCAUAAGGACCUUGAUCCUCAAGGAAAACAUUUUGAAUUUAUACCAUUUGGUGCGGGUAGAAGAGCAUGUCCAGGAAUAGCUUUCGCUCUUCAAAUGCUACAUUUAACAUUGGCCAAUUUCUUACAGGCGUUCGACUUUUCAACUCCAUCAAAUGCACGAGUUGAUAUGUGCGAGAGCCUUGGACUUACAAACAUGAAAUCUACCCCACUUGAAGUUCUCAUUUCUCCACGCAUGUCUUUGUUAUAGUCUUUACAACUAAAAUAUUGAAAUGAAAAGGUAAAAGCUGGCCUAGUUGGCUAGUCUUAGUUUAAAGACAUCUUGAGUUAGCCUUAAGAUGCAUAAGAUAAGAUUUAGGAGUGUAUUAAAAAUAGUUUGGACUAAAAAUGAUGUAUGGUAAACUAAACUAUAAUCUAUUCCAAUAAAAGUAUAGUAUUAUAUAUUAUUUGGCCAGCCUUUUAAAAUUUAGCAUCAUAAAUUUGAACAUAUAUAUAAACCUUAGUCUAACUUUAUUUCUCUAUUUUGUGUAGUUUAUUGGCACUUUUUUUUCCCUUUUUUUUCACCAAAACAGGUAAUACAUAGGCUUUUCAAAAAUAUUACCUAUAUAAGAAUUUUAUUAUUACAUACUUAGAGGAUGUUUGGUAAAUCAAUAUAAUGGCUUAAUGACCUAUUUAAGUCUUAACUAGAUUAAGAAUAUUUGGUAAAAUAACUUAAAGAAUAAAUUAAUUAUUUUAACUUAGCACUUAAAAUUAAAUACUUGACCAGGCAAAAAAAAAAAAAAAAAAAGACUUUUAUGGAAUAAGGGCAAGAAAGAAGAUAAGAAGGAUUAGUAGUUGCCUAGUCGAGGAACUUGAGGCCGACAUUCAGAGUGCGGUCCCAGAGUUCAAGACACCGCCUAAAACUAGUGUCGGUCAUAGAGAGACAUUAAUUUUUCAAUGAAACAAACCCCAUCUCUUGUUCUCUCCCGCCUCAACAGCAGUGGUAAGUGUGGAUAUAGAUCUAAAUGCAAGAUGAUCCCGAACUGAUUUCAUACCACCAUCCAUCACCAACCAAUCACAUUCCACUUCCCACUUCAAACUUUUCGAUUCCUCGGGUAGCCUCCUCUAUAAAGGCAGUCUAGCUUCAGAGGCAGGUGAGCCGGGUCAGGAAGGAGUUUGACUGCUGGGAAGGGAUUGGAUCCUACUCGAAGCACUCCACCAUGAAUAAGAAUCUUCGAGUUAGAUAGGCAGUAGAGAUAGGAACUCCUAUUUGUAGGGUGGGCUUUCAAGACAGAGAUGCACUACUCCAUCUGGAAAGGGCUUUCCCUCGUGGGGAAAGAGUAUGAUUAAGGAAGACCAAUUAAAGAAGGGUGGUCGUAGAUCAGAUAUCGAUUAACUGCUUGGCAACCUAUCCCGAAUUGACCAGUUGACCAGGUAGGAAUACCUGUACUAAUUGCAACAAGAGAGACCAAUAGAGUUGAACAGACAACUGACAGCUCGCAAUUGAGAGACUUUCCUGUUGAGUUGACAGAUGAGCGAUUGCAAGAAAUAGGGGAAAAAAGACAGAUAACGCACAGAUUGACUUAGCAAGAAGCGGUUAGUGGGACUUAGUUCGAGGUUUUAUUCCUCUUUCCUUAUUCGUGAACAUAUGGGACUCUUUCUUUUUGCUUUCUUCAAUCACUUCGAUCUCUGCCACUCUCGCCUGUCGAAGAUAGCCUAGUCUUUUAAAGUAUACGAUUUCCGAGUUAUUGAACUCCUAAAUUCAUUCCGAUUGGGGAAUAAUAAAAGAUGUUAUUAACUUCAAGUUAUCCCAAUAUUUAUAGCUAAAGCCCUAGAGGGCGCGUUCUUAAACCUUUUCGCUACGUGAAAUUUAAGCAAGAUCUCAUCGGUUCUAUCUUUAGCGAAAUCUUCCUUUAGCUUUGAUGUCAGGUGAUCAAAAGAGAUUACCGAAUAGAGCUCUUAUUCAAACCAUCAUUCUUUUCUAGUUAUCACACUCAGAUAGAGGGAAGAUUUAGAUUUGUAUCCCAACUUAUUAAUCCAACUUCCACGAGGUAAGUCAAAUGCUCUAUGGGCGAUGUCUAAGCAGUGUCUACGAACCUAGACGAAAAGGGCUUUCAUUACCAUGUUGGAAUUUUGAACAGGACCACCUACCAAUCAGUAUACGACAACAAAAAGGCUCAGAGAAGCAUUUAGCGAGUAUGAUGGGGCCCAGAUCACAGUAAACUUUGACAAAGCAUGGGGGUCUCUUUGUGACUAUGCAAUUAAAGAGGACGAACAACCUCUGACUUGGAAGGAAGAAAGCCUCGCCCAAAUAAAGGAACGGGUCAAUGCGAAGAAAACUCAUAGGAAGACCGAUAUAGAAACAAAACUAAAAAAUAUUGAUAGGAUGUCAAACAAAGAGGAUAGGUUCCAAGUUUAUGAGGAUUUAGUAUUUGCGCAAAAGUUCCUAUCUUCCUAUUCCUAGGUUAAGUCUAUUUUCGAUGAUCUGAAAAUCUUAAAAGACAUCAAGGGAGAACACCUUGUCAAAUAGAAUCUAUACGAGCAUGGGAAACCUGAUGAAUAUGACAUUGAGGAAUUGAAUUGGGAGAAAAAGACUGACUUAUUUAUUGCUUGAUUUGAUUGCCUAUCAACUUGCUUUUAGUAGACCUAGUAAAACAACUAUUCCUUUUUGAGGAGUCGAGUACCUAAAAAACGAUCAUUCUCCAUUUUCUGUCAAAAGUGCUCCGAAUCUACUUCGCUAGCUCAUGGAAAAAUGACUUCGUGGGGACUCACGAUUACUACAAUUUAUGGGUAUUCUUUGAGUUCCACGAACCAGACACGGGAAGCACAGUCAUUGGAGCAUUCGAAACAGGAACGACUUAUGCUAACACAGUCUUUAAGAUUCUGGACGGGUAUAUCGACUUGACUCCAAAUACAAUCAAAUUAUAACAAAAAAAAAAUGUGCUUAUAAGAAUCAAAAUUCUUGCAAAUAAACUUCCCUUGUGUAUUAGGGACCCUUUCAAGCAAGGUUCCAAACAUUAAGAUUCUUUUCCAAUAAAAAGAUAGUAAAAGAGGCACAAAUCAGAUCAUAGAAACCUUGUGGGGUUGCAUACAACGCCAAAUAACAAGCAGCGCUUACGUACAACGAGAAAAGAUAAAGAAAUUGCCUAGAUCAACUACAACGAAUGCAAAUGCGUAUUAUUACCAAACCUGAUACCACUAGAUUUAUUUCUUAGUUAUAUAAUAUAGUAGCAAACAUGCCGAGAGAAACAAUACCCAUACCUGCUGUGGAUUCACAGGGGGACACGACGGCGAGAAAUUUUUGGCGGACGGAUUAUUCAUCACGCAAUUGGGCCAUACAACAAGGUUAUACAAUGUGGCGUAGAAUCCAGCAGGAAGACGACUUUAUGAAAACAAAAAAGAUCCUAGUAGUGAUACUUGACAUAGAAUCGAAAAGAAGCCAAAGCUACAAGUACGCAGAAGAUGUGGGGGGAGAUGAUACGAGACUUUCUUUAAUCGAUUUUGCCAUUAUUCCCUUGAAGCAAAAAAAAAAAAAGACAAAAGAUAUUAUUAUAUAUUUAAUAACAUAUGUAAAUGGAGGAAAGCACCCUUAUUUUAUUGAAAUACAUCUGUGUGACGAAAGGCAACCCAUCUGGUACCUACCACUACUCGAAAACCAUUUUAUCCAACGGUGUGGAGAAAUUAAAACGAACAUUGUUAGGAUUACGCAACUGGGGCCCUUCUUGAGUGAAAAUGACAAAGAGAAGAGGAAGUCAGAAAAACUCUACCCAUAUUGAUCAAACUAUACCAAAGCGAAGUCUCAUGCAAAAAAGAAAUGAAAUAAAAAAAGGCAAGAUGAGCAAGAAUUUGGGAUAACACGUUUCAUAAACGAAUUCAGCCCUCAAGAACAGAAAGCAUAGGUUGAUGAACUCAUUAAACAAUCCGAGAACACAAACAACUACCCAAGAUUCGGGCUAGAGCUGUGCACAAGUAGGAACUUUAGCCGCCACUAGUACGUACGACAAGUGCAGUGCUUCUGCCCUCUUAUCUUGUUCCUGAACAGGAGGUACACUUGGUCCCUUGUUACAUGACUUUUUUUAUAUCUUUAUGGUCUGAGAUAUCAAGUCGUAACACCGUUGGUUCUUUGAUAAAAUUUUGUAAUGCACCGAUGGUGUUUUAGUUGCCCCUUGAGGGAACCAGUCCUUAUGGUAGAGGGCCAAGAAAAGAUAGCGUGCUUGUGUUGGAAGCAAGCAAGCGGGCAAGCGGGUGAACAAAUCACCAAUUGAACUAGACAUUCGGUUACUAGGAGCAUCCCUUUAUCAGCAUCUUCAUAACUGUCUUCAAGCUUCUGGGCCUCGGAAACACAAUAGAAUCUUGUGAUCGAGUGAAGGGCAAAUGAGCUACCACGUCCCAGCUAAAAAUCUUACCUGAUUUUAGCUACUCCCGUAACCGUCCCUUUGAGUACUUAUGGCAAUCAUUUACCUUAUUUAUACCCAUCUCAAAUAAUGGGACUCGAUUUAUCAUUUGAAUUUAUCUCCAAAAAUUGGACUGAAAGUGAAUAUGUUUUCUUUAUUGUAGAAGUUUACAUCUGGAGCUCCCUUGAGUGGUGUUAGCUGGUCGUAAGUCAGAAAAGGAAAGGAAUGAGGGGCAAGACCGGAGACCUACGACCAUAGGCUAGAGACCGAAGAAUCCCAUAACCUGUUUCGAGAAGGGCAGGCUAGUUUAAGCAUAGUCAUUCGAUUCGACAUCUGCCUCUUUCAAGCGGAUAGAGAAAGGAGAGUAGGAGCACAAGAAGGAUCAGACGAUUCUAAUUGUUAGACAGAGUAGAGGGGAGAGAGGCAAAUUGAGUUUCUGAAGCUGACGAAGUGAUUUACUAUAUUGUGGAGCUUCCACCAACAGUAGUUUUUCCACCAUAAGGGGAGAGAUAUUGCGCUAGGUCAACUCGAGCAUAGGGUUACAGACGGACAUCUUCCGUUCAAUCAGAUGGGACUCUUUGUUGAGAGUUCUAAAGCUAGGUUUGCCACUUUAAACCCAACAGAUGCAAAGCAAAAGCCAAAAAACCAGCAACUCUCUUACUUCAAUUGACUGCUUGACUUCUUUCUAUCCGAUUAGCAUUGGUUUAUGCUGUCUCGAAAACAGGAACUUAGGAUUUUUAUACCAAGAUUCAAGACAAGAAGUCUCGACAUUCCUCAUAUGGGAAAAAAAUGAAGUGGAACCUUCCAAAGGCCCGGGUUACGAUGCUUCAAGUUCAAUGAAGGAAAUUGGGAGAACUUGAAAAUGGACCAUGACUCUAUUAGCUUACUAGCUUAGCUUCGUGAGCUUGCUUCUUUGGUUAGACAAAAAGCAUUCUACUUACUGUCGAAGUGGAAAUCAUUCUCUAGGUCGAUAAUAAAAUAGUGCUUUCAAAGUAGAAAGGAGGACGAACUAUAUUGGAAUUUCUUAGGGCAAAAUUCUCAAAGGCUAGCUAGCAAGAAAGUGAUAGUCUAAUGGUUACAACGAGUGAGCAUACUGGAUUAAGUUUACAAUCUCCGAUAUUAUCCAUUUCAGAAUCUUUCACUAUCGAGAGGAAAUUGUUUNNNNNNNNNNNNNNNNNNNNNNNNNNNNNNNNNNNNNNNNNNNNNNNNNNNNNNNNNNNNNNNNNNNNNNNNNNNNNNNNNNNNNNNNNNNNNNNNNNNNNNNNNNNNNNNNNNNNNNNNNNNNNNNNNNNNNNNNNNNNNNNNNNNNNNNNNNNNNNNNNNNNNNNNNNNNNNNNNNNNNNNNNNNNNNNNNNNNNNNNNNNNNNNNNNNNNNNGGGGGGGGGGAAGCGAUCCAGACAAGGAUAGUCUCAAAGGAUAUUUAGGUUAUCACACACAAAGUGUGGGUCCAUGCGAGCAAGGCUUAGUAGCUUUCCAUGACGAUCCAACAGAUCAAAUAUGAUUCUAGCCAAAGCCAAUUGGAAGAAAUGAAUCUCUUGGGCCUUCUCCUGCGGGCAUCUAAGGUUCUCUUGCUUAAUUUAUUCUUUAUCUCAAUUUUUUUUUCCUUCACUUAUCCAUGUUCAAUAAAACCGUAUUUUACAAUUAUGACUUUGAAUUUACAACUCAUCUUUUAUAGUAAAUAUUUUCGUAAUUUAUUUACAAUACUUUAAAUCUAAAUAUUUAACAACUAAAUUUAUUAUUAUUAUUUAAGAUUAGUAAAACUAUAAAUAUUAGUUAAAAUGAAUGAAGAUAAAUAUAUAGAUUUUAUAAUUCAAAAUAAAUAUUAAGUUAAUUCUAUUAAACAAUCCUAAUAUUAAAAGUAAUAAAUAAGUAAUAAAUUUUAGUUUAAUAAUUUAACUUGAAAUCAAUUUAAUUAAAUUAUUAAAUAAUAAAUAUUAAGUUUUAUCCUGAACGUUAAUCUCAACGACCUUGACAUCUAAAUAUGAUCUGCCCCAAUUAAAUAUUAAACCAUAACUUAACAUAUGCCCGCAUGACCCUCGGAGCAUAUAAUUAAUUCAUUUCAAAGAUCACGGAAGAUCCUUUUAGUAACAUGGCUCCAUUGAUAUAGCAUUCUAUUUAUUGACCGCUACGUAUUAUAUAAAUUCAAAGAUCAUGGAGAGGAUCUUGUCGGCAAUCAUUCGUCAGAAGAAGGGCAGUUUCCUUCAUAAAAUAGUAGACUUUGAAUAAAAGUAAUCUACACAACAUCAUAGCAUAUGCAAGCAAUUUUGGACGGAUUACGAAAGUCAAACCUACUGGGCCACGCCCGUUACAACAUCUCGAAAUAGGGAGAAUUGUGUUUUUGAUCCAGGCCCCAAAAAUUAACAUUUGGUCCUCCAACCACCCAUAUUUAAGCCCAAGACCCAAAUAAAGUAUGAAAAUUAAGAUGAAAGAUAUUGUCUUUCAUUAAUUCCUAAAAUACCCUUAUCCCUUAUAUGCCUACAAGUGAGUGUGAAUUUUAAUUUUUUUUAUAUUUUUUUUCCUUUUCUAUUCCCUAUUAAAUAUUACUUAUUUCUAACUUUUUUUUUCCUUUUUAUUUCAAUAUAUAUUUCUAUUUUAUGUCAAAUAAAAAACAAUAAUAUUUUUUUAUUUUUCAUUUUUAAAGAUAUUGAAUCUUUUUGCUCUUAUUAAAAGCAAUGAUAAAAAUUUUGAGAUUUUUCAUCCAAAUAUUUUUUUAUCUUUUUGUAUUUAUCUUUUAGUUUAAUUUUCAUUUUUUAUUUUAAAUUUAUAUUACCCUUUCAUCUAUAUUUUUCUCUUUUUUUUAUAUUUUCUACAUUAACCAUAUUUUAAAAAUUUUUAAAAUUAACUAUCACUUCACUUUAUUAUAUAUAUAUAUAUCUUUUUAGCUUUUUAAUUUUUAAUGUUUUUAUUUUAAAAUUUUUAAAAAGAUAAAUUUGUUGAAAAAAAAUAAUUAAGAUAUGAAGUUCUAAUAUUAUAUUAAUAAUUUUUCUUAUCUAGAUAGACUAAUGCAAAGUAUUUUGACCCACAACAAGAAAAUUGUCAAUACAAUUUUUUAGUUAAACUUUAAAAAUUAAGUUUCAAAUAAAAUAUAUUAUAUAAAAUUUUAUCUAAAAAUUAUUGAAAGUGGUAUUUAAUUUUUUUAUUUAUUGACUUUGAAACUUAUCUAAUUUUUUACUUGAAAGGUAAUAGAACAUGUUUACAAAAAAAAUUAGUUUUUCAUUUUUUUAAAUAAAUGAGUAUAAAUAUAUUAAAAAAAUUAAAGAUAAUCUUAGUAAAAAAUUUGAUAAAUAUGAUUAUAAUUUUAAAUAUAGAUUCAUGUGGAUAAAAUUUCACAAAAAAAAAAUAGUGGAAAGAAAGAACAUUGCUAAAACUACAAAAACAAAAUAUGCAAUUACAAAAAUUUGAUGAUGAAAUUUAAAAAUAAAAUUCGAAACAAUUCUUGAGUGAGAGAAUUUGAGUGGGGAAAAAAUAUUUGAGUGGAAAAAAAUGGGAAAGUUUUUCGAAAUCACUUUAAAUCCUUAACAAAAAGUAGUCUUAUACACCCUUGUACAAUUAGUAAAUUUGUCUUGUACAAUUAGUGUAAUACCCUUGUACAGUUAGUGUAAUACCCUUGUACAAUAUCUCAAAUUUCAUACAUCAUUUUAUGAAUAUCUAACAAUAGGUCGGUUAACCAUGUUUGCAUCGGUUUGGUUUUAAAAAGGAAAAAAAAUUGUUGUAUAAUUUUGUUUUACAAUCAUCAUAAGUGAGGUACCUAUUAAAAUGACCAUAUACAAGUUAGAUAAAAUUCAUGAGAUGAAUGUAUGCUUAACUAAUGUGUGUAAGAAAUGUCAUUUAUCUUUGGUUAAGGGAAAUAAACAAACAAGUUUUUUAAAAUCACUUAAAAUCCUUCACAAAUAAUAGUCUUGUACACCCUUGUACAGUUAGUAUAUUUGUCAUGUACACUUAGUGUAAAUACCUUGUACAGUGACUAAAAAAAAAACGUUAUUUUAUUUUAUUUUCAAUGCAAAAUGUAAUUAAAAAUAAGACAAAGAAAUUACUUAAAAACUAUUAUUUAAGCCAAAUUUAUUUAUUUAUUUCCUUUUAUUUUUGGAAAUAAAGAAAAAAGAAUAAAAAAUUUAUUUAACCAUAAGAAAUAUGAAUAUAAGAUCAGUUGGAAAAUUUUAAAUUUAUUUAUUUAUUUCAUUUUAUUUUUGGAAUUAAAGAAAUAAAAAAUUAAAAAUUUAUUUAAUCAUAAAAAAUAUUGAUAUAAGAUAUAUUAAAAAAUAGAAAUAACCCCAAAUUUAUUUACUUAUUUCAUUUUAUUUAUUAAAUUAGAAAUUAAUUUAUUUUAAUAGAUUAAAAUGUGCACAAUUUAUUUAUUACUUUGUUAAUUAUGGAUAUAUUAAAAUUUUCGAUAAAAAAUAAAUAAAGAAAAUAAAAUUAAAAAGAGUAAUAAAUAUAUAUAAUUUAGUUAUUUAAUUAUUUUUCAUGUAAAAGAUGGUCCCACAAAAAACAUAUAAUUGAUCAAUUUCUUUGUUUAAUCAUAAACAUACUAUUUUUUUUAUUAUUAAAAUAAAUAAUGAAAAAAAAUAAAAAUGGAUAAUCAAUGAAUGAAAUUUAGUUCUUUUUAUUAUUUUCAUAUAAAAAAUAGUACUAAAUAAGGUUUUCAAUUUUUAUUUUUUAAAAUAGUUUUCAUUUUUUAAUUAAAUGUUUUUUCAAAAAGAAAAUAUAAAAAAUAUAAAUCAUAUUACUAUUUUUUAGAAAGUAUUUUUUAAAAUAGCUUUCGAACAUAAUUUUUCUUUAUUUAUAAUUUAAAAUAGAAAAUAAUGUUGAUUUUCAAUUAUUUAUAAAAAAAUUAAAAUAAUGAAAAAUCCAAAUUGUUAAAAUAGAAUUAUUAUGGUUGCAUGAAUAAUGGUGCAAUAAAGACAAAAAAAAAAGUUUAUGUGAAAUGUCAUUGGGUAUUUUAGUCCAUCACUAUUUAAUGUCCUUAAAAGGUAAUGUAUAGAAAUUUGAAGGAUAUAUUGGUCUUUUAACAUCUCAUAUCCUUUCCAUCAAUUAUGGAAGUUAUAUAGACCAAAUGUUAAUUUUUGGGCCCAAUUGGGCCCAAAACACAAUUCUCCCCUCGAAAUAUGGUAGUAUAGAUAGAUGCUUAAGCUGGAAAAACACCGACAGAUCGAUCUAACCAUGGCGGUGCCACACUCCAGCAGUCUUCUUCAAUACCUAAAUGUUACCACGAUCGGAGUGCUUGGCAUACUUUUUCUUUCCUACUAUCUAUUAGUACGGAGAUCCAGAGCUGGUAAGAGAAGAAUAGGACCUGAAGCAGCUGGUGCAUGGCCAAUAAUCGGUCACCUACACCUCUUAGGUGGGUCACAGCUCCCUCAUGUAACAUUGGGAACCAUGGCCGACACAUAUGGGCCGGUCUUCACAAUUCGUCUUGGGGUGCAUCGAGCUUUGGUGGUGAGUAGCUGGGAGAUGGCUAAAGAAUGCUUGACCACCAAUGACCAGGCUGCAUCCUCGCGUCCCGAACUUUUAGCCUCAAAACAUUUGGGCUACAACUACUCCAUGUUUGGUUUCUCUCCGUACGGUUCUUACUGGCGUGAAGUGCGCAAGAUAAUCAGCCUAGAGCUACUCUCUAACCGCCGCCUAGAGCUGCUGAAGGACGUCCGAGCUUCAGAAGUGGUGACAUCUAUAAAAGAGCUAUACGAGCUCUGGGAAGAGAAAAAAAAUGAAUCGGGCCUUGUCUCGGUGGAGAUGAAGCAGUGGUUUGGAGACUUGACUCUGAACGUAAUUCUUAGGAUGGUGGCAGGGAAGCGUUAUUUCAGUGCUUCAGAUGCAAGUGAAAAUAAACAGGCGCAGAGGUGCCGGAGAGUGUUCAGGGAAUUCUGUCAUUUGUCAGGGCUCUUUGCGGUGGCGGACGCUAUUCCUUUUCUUGGAUGGCUAGACUUGGGGAGACAUGAGAAGACCCUAAAGAAGACAGCAAAAGAAAUGGACAGUAUUGCUCAAGAAUGGUUAGAGGAGCACCGUCGGAGGAAAGACUCCGGUGAAGUUAAUAGUACGCAAGACUUCAUGGAUGUGAUGCUGUCAGUUCUUGAUAGCAAAAACCUUGGUGAUUACGAUGCUGAUACCGUCAAUAAAGCCACAUGCCUGGUAUACAUUAUUGGAACACCCACAUAUCAUAUAUAUUUGCAUAUUAUCAGGGCUAGCUUUAUUUCCAUAGGUACUUCUCUUAAUUUUGAAGUGUUACACUGCAAUAAUCAAAUAAAUUUUAUUUUUUAUUUUUUAAAAAUAAAAUUUAAAAAUAUAUAUACCGCUGAAAGAAUUGAUUUCAGAAAAUUAUUCUUUGAGAACUCCUUUGAUAAACUGAGCCAUGUUUCUAGGGAAUACUAAAUAUGAUGUUUUUAAAAACGGCUUAAUUUGUAAUUUUAUUUUUGAGCAAGUUGCAAAAUACUUUAUCUUCCAAUUUUCAUUUUGGUCAGCAAUAAGGGGCAAUAAGGGGUUAUCCAGGUUUCCGAAGUUAUAUUUAAUUUCCCUCGUAGAAAAUAAGUGAGAUCUUGAAAUCAAAAGUUUAAUCAUGUUUGCUUGAAUAAGAAACUUGAAGAUCCUGUAAAGAGAUGACAUAUAUCGUUUGGGCAAUAUACCUAUGUAAGAGAUGGUUGGUUUAGAAUUUUUCUCUUAAACCAUAUAUAGGAGAAAAUGGAAAAAAAAAUACUGUUAUUUUUGUACUAGGCCAUACUAUUUAAUAGUGUCUAAAGAGAGUUUCAUUACAUGCUAUCAAACAAUUAAUUUUGUCUCAUCACCUGCGUAAUCUUAAGUUGUUAUCUUUUGUGUUAUGUAGGCUCUAAUUGUAGGAGGUAGUGACACAACAGUUGUCACUUUAACUUGGGCGCUCUCUCUUCUAUUAAACAAUCGUGACACCUUAAAAAAGGCACAAGAAGAAUUAGAUAUUCAAGUUGGCAAGGAAAGAUUAGUGAAUGAACAAGAUAUCAGUAAAUUGGUCUAUCUCCAAGCCAUUGUUAAAGAGACAUUACGAUUAUAUCCGCCAGCAGCACUUGGAGGACCACGUCAAUUCACUGAGGACUGCACCUUGGGUGGUUACCAUGUCUCCAAAGGCACCCGAUUAAUAUUGAAUCUUUCCAAAAUCCAAAAGGAUCCAAGAAUUUGGAUGAGUCCAACAGAAUUCCAACCAGAGAGGUUUCUAACCACCCAUAAGGACCUUGAUCCUCGAGAAAAACAUUUUGAAUUUAUACCAUUUGGUGCCGGUAGAAGAGCAUGUCCAGGAAUAGCUUUCGCUCUUCAAAUGCUACAUUUAACAUUGGCCAAUUUCUUACAGGCAUUCGACUUUUCAACUCCAUCAAAUGCACAAGUUGAUAUGUGCGAGAGCCUUGGACUUACAAACAUGAAAUCUACCCCACUUGAAGUUCUCAUUUCUCCACGCAUGUCUUUGUUAUAGUCUUUACAACUAAAAUAUUGAAAUAAAGAGGUCAAAGCAGGCCUAGCUAGCUAGUCUUAGUUUAAAUACAUCUUGAGUUAGCCUUAAGAUGCAUAAGAUAAGAUUUAGGAGUGUAUUAAAAAUAGUUUGGACUGAAAAUGAUGUAUGGUAAACUAAACUAUAAUCUAUUCCAAUAAAAGUAUAGUAUUAUAUAUUAUUUGGCCAACCUUUUAAAAUUUAGCAUCAUAAAUUUGAACAUAUAUAUAAACCUUAGUCUAACUUUAUUUCUCUAUUUUGUGUAGUUUAUUGACACUUUUUUUUUUUCCUUUUUUUCACCAAAACAGGUAAUACAUAGUCUUUUCAAAAAUAUUACCUAUAUAAGAAUUUUAUUAUUACAUAAUUAGAGGAUGUUUGGUAAAUCAAUAUAAUGGCUUAAUGACUUAUUUAAGUCUUAACUAGAUUAAGAAUAUUUGGUAAAAUAACUUAAAGAAUAAAUUAAUUAUUUUAACUUAGUACUUAAAAUUAAAUACUUGACCAAGCAAAAAAAAAAAAAAAAACUUUUAUGGAAUAAGGGCGAGAAGGAAGAGAAAAAGGAUUAGUAGUUGCCUAGCCGAGGAACUUGAGGCCGACAUUCAGAGUGCGGUCCCGGAGUUCAAGACGCCGCCUAAAACUAGUGUCGAUCAUAGAGAGGCAUUUAUUUUUCAAUGAAACAAACCUCAUCUCUUGUUCUCUCCCGCCUCAACAGCAGAGCUAAGUGCGGAUACAGAUCUAGAUGCAAGAUGAUCUCGAACCGAUUUCAUAACCACCAUCCAUCACCAACCAAUCACAUUCCACAUCCCACUUCAAACUUUUUUAUUCCUCAGGCAGCCUCCUCUAUAAAGGCAGUCUAGCUUUAAAGGCAGGUGAACUGGGUCAAGAAGGAGUUUGACUGCUGGGAAGGGAUAGGAUCCUACUCGAAGCACUCCACCACGAAUAAGAGUCUCUGGGUUGGAUAGGCAGUAGAGAUAGGAACUCCUAUAUGUAGGGUGGGCUUUCAAGAUAGAGGUGCACUACUCCAUUUGUAAAGGGCUUUCUCUCAUAGGGAAAGAGAAUGAUUAAGGAAUACCAAUUAAAGAAGGGUGGUCGUAGAUCAGAUAUCGAUUAACUGCUUGCCAGCCUAUCCCGAAUUGACCAGUUGACCAAGCAGGAAUACCUAUACUAAUUGCGACAUGAGAGACCGAUAGAGUUUAAUAGACAGCUGACAGCUCGCGAUUGAGAGACUUUCUAGUUGAGUUGACAGAGAAGCGAUUACAAGGGAUAGGGGAAAAAAGACAGAUGGCGCACAUAUUGACUUAGCAAAAAGCAGUUAGCGGGACUCAGUUCGAGGUUUUAUUCCUCUUUCCUGAUUCGUGAAUAGAUGGGACUCUUUCAUUUUGCUUUCUUUCUUCACUUCGAUCUCUGCCACUCUCGCCUGUCAGAGAUAGCCUGGUCUUUUAAAGUAUACGAUUUCCAGGUUAUUAAAUUCCUAAAUUCAUUCCAAUUGGGGAAUAAUAAAAGAUGUUAUUAACUUCAAGUAAUCCCAAUAUUUAUAGCUAAAGCCCUAGAGGACGCGUUCUUAAACCUUUUCGCUACGUGAAAUUUAAGCAAGAUCCCGUCGGUUCUAUCUUUAGCGAAAUCUUCCCUUAGCUUUGAUGCCAGGUGAUCAAAAGAGAUUACCGAAUAGAGCUCUUACUCAAACCAUCAUUCUUUUCUAGUUAUCACACUCAGAUAGAGGGAAGAUUUAGAUUUGUAUCCCAACUUAUUAAUCCAACUUCCACGAGGUAAGUCAAAUGCUCUAUGGGCGAUGUUUAAGCAAUGUCUACGAACCUAGACAAAAAGGGCUUUCAUUACCAUGUUGGAAUUUUGAACAACACCGCCUACCAGUCGGUAUACGACGACAAAAAGGCUCAGAGAAGCGUUUAGCGAGUUUGAUGGGGCCCAGAUUGUCGUAAAGUUUAACAAAGCAUGGGGGUCUCUUUGUGACUAUGCAAUUAAAAAGAACGAACAACCUCUGACUUGGAGGGAAGAAAGCCUCGCCCAAAUAAAGGAAUGGGUCAAUGCCAAGAAAAUUCAUAGGAAGACCGAUACAGAAACAAAACUAAAAAAGAUUGAUAGGAUGUCAAACAAAGAGGAUAGGUUCCAAGUUUAUGAGGAUUUAGUAUUUGCGCAAAAGUUCCUAUCUUUCUAUUCCUCGAUCAAGUCUGUUUUCGAUGAUUUGAAAAUCUUAAAAGACAUCAAGAGAGAACACCUUGUCAAAUAGAAUUUAUACGAGCAUGGGAAACCCAAUGAAUACGACAUUGAGGAAUUGAAUUGGGGGAAAAAGACUGACUUAUUUAUUGCUUGAUUUGAUUGCCUAUCAACUUGCUUUUAGUAGACCCAUCAAAACAACUAUUCCUUUUUUAGGAGUCGAGUACCUAAAAAACGAUCAUUCUCCAUUUUCUGUCAAAAGUGCUCCGAAUCUACUUUGCUAACUCAUAGAGAAAUGACUUCGUGGGGGCUCACGAUUACUACAAUUUAUGGGUAUUUUUUUAGUUCCAUGAACCAAACACGGGAAGCACAGUCAUUGGAGCAUCCGAAACAGGAACGACUUAUGCUAACACACUCCUUAAGAUUCUGGAUGGGCAUGUCGACUUGACUCCAAAUACAAUCAAAUUAUAACAAAAAGAAGAAAUGUACUUAUAAGAAUCAAAAUUCUUGCAAAUAAACUUCCCUUGUGUGUUAGGGACCCUUUCAAGCAAGGUUCCAAACAUGAAGAUUCUUUUCCAAUAAAAAGAUUGUAGAAGAGGCACAGAUCAGAUCAUAGAAACCUUGUGGGGUUGCAUACAACGCCAAAUAACAAGUAGCGCUUUCGUACAACGAGAGAGGAUAAAGAAGUCACCCUAAUCAACUACAACGAAUGCAAAUGUGUAUUAUUACCAAACCUAAUACCACUAGAUUCAUUUCUUAGUUAUAUAAUAUAGUAGCAAACAUGCAGAGAGAAACAAUACCCAUACCUGUUGCGAAUUCACAAGGAAACAUGGCAGCGAGAAAUUUUUUACGGACGGAUCAUUCAUCACUCAAUUAGGCCAAAUAGCAAGGCUAUACACUGUGGCGUAGAAUCCAGCAGGAAGACGACUUUAUGAAAAUGAAAAAGAUCCCCAUAGUGAUACUUGACAUAGAAUCGAAAAGAAGCCAAAGCUACCAGUACGUAGAAGAUGCGGGGGAAGAUGAUACAGGACUUUCUUUAAUUGAUUUUGCCAUUAUCCCCCUGAAGAAAAAAAAAAGACAAAAUAUAUUAUUAUAUAUUUAAUAACAUAUGUAAAUGGAGGGAGGCACCCUUAUUUUGUUGAAAUACAUCCGUGUGACGGAAGACAACCCAUCUGGUACCUACCACUACUCGAAAACCACUUUAUCCAACGGUGUGGAGAAGUUAAAACGAACAUUGUCAAAAUUACGCAACUGGGCCCCUUCUUGAGUGAAAAUGGCAAAGAGAAGAGGAAGUCAGAAAAACUCUACCCAUAUUGAUCAAACUAUACCAAAGCAAAGUCUCAUGCAAAAAAGAAAUGAAACAAAAGAAGGCAAGACGAGCAAGAAUUUGGGAUAACAUGUUUCAUAAACGAAUUUAGCCCUCAAGAACAGAAAGCAUAGGUUGAUGAACUCAUUAGACAAGCCGAGAACACAUACAACUACCCAAGAUUCUGGCUAGAGCUGUGCACAAGUAGGAACUUUAGCCGCCACUAGUACGUACGACAAGUGCAGUGCUUCUGCCCUCUUAUCUUGUUCCUGAACUGGAGGUACACUUGGCCCCUUGUUACAUGACUUUUUUAUAUCUUUAUGGUCUGAGAUAUCAAGUCGUAAUACCAUUGGUUCUUUGAUAAAAGUUUGUAAUGCACCAAUGGUGUUUUAGUUGCCCCUUGAGGGAACCGAUCCUUGUGGUAGAGGGCCAAGAAAAGAUAGCGUGCUUGUGUUGAAAGCGAGCAAGCGGGCAAACGGGUGAACGAAUCACCAACCGAACUAGACACUCGGUUACUAGGAGCAUCCCUUUAUCAGCAUCUUCAUAACUGUCUUCAAGCUUCUAGGCCUCAGAAACACAAUAGAAUCUCGUGACCGAGUGAAGGGCGAAUGAGCUACCACGUCCCAGCUAAAAAUCUUACUCGAUUUUAGCUACUCCCGUAACCGUCCCUUUGAGUACUUAUGGCAAUUCUUUACCUUAUUUAUACCCAUCUUAAAGGAUGGGACUUGAUUUAUCAUUUGAAUUUCUGUCCAAAAAUUGGACUGAAAGUGAAUAUGUUUUCUCUAUUGUAGAAGUUUACAUCUGGAGCUCCCUCGAGUGGUAUUUGUUGGUCGUAAGUCAAAAAAGGAAAGGAAUGAGGGGCAGGACCGAAGACCUACAACCAUAGGCUAGAGACUGAAGAAUCCCGUAACCUAUUUUGAGAAGGGCAAGCGAGUUUAAGCAUAGUCAUUCGAUUUGACGCCUACCUCUUUCGAGAUGAUAGAGAAAGGAGAGUAGGAGCACGAGAAGGAUCAGGCGAUUCUGAUUGUUAGCUAGAGCGGAACGAAGAGAGGCAGAUGGAGUUUUUGAAGCCGACAAAGUGAUUUACUAUAUUGUGGAGCUUCCACCAACAGUAGUUUUUCCACCAUAAAGGGAGAGAUAUUGCGCUAGGUCAACUCGAGCAUAAGGUUACAGAUAGACUUCUUCCGUUCAAUCAGAUGGGACUCUUUGUUGAGAGUUCUAAAGCUAGGUUUGCCACUUUAAACCCAGCAGAUGCAAAGCAAAAGCCAAAAAACUAGCAACUCUCUUACUUUAACUAAUUGCUUGACUCAUUUCUAUCCGAUCAGCACUGGUUUAUGCUGUCUCGAAAACAGGAACUUAGGAUUUUUAUACCGAGAUUCAAGACAAGAAGUCUCGAUAUUCCUUAUAUGGGAAAAAAAAGGAAGUGGAACCUUCUAAAGGCCCGAGUUACGAUGUUUCAAGUUCAAUGAAGGAAAUUAAGAGAACUUGAAAAGGAACCAUGACUCUAUUAGCUUAGUAGCUUAGCUUUGUAAGCUUGCUUCUUUGGUUAGACAGAAAGCAUCCUACUUACUAUUGAAGUGGAAAUCAUUCUCUAGGUCGAUAAUAAAAUAGCGAUUUCAAAGUAGAGAGAAGGACAGACUAUAUAGGAAUUUCUUAGGGCAAAAUUCUCAAGGGCUAGCUAGCAAGAAAGUGAUAGUCAUGGUUACAGCGAGUGAGCAUAUUGGAUUAAGUUUACAAUCUCCGAUAUUAUCCAUUUCAGAAUCUUUCACUAUCGAGGGGAAAUUGUUUUUUUAAGAAAAGGGGGGGGGGGGGAAGCGAUCCAGACGAGGACAGUCUCAGAGGAUAUUCAGGUUAUCACACACAGAGUGUGGGUCCAUGCGAGCAAGGCUUAGUAGCUUUCCAUGAUGAUCCAGCCGAUCAAAUAUGAUUCUAGCCAAAGCCAGUUGGGAGAAAUGAAUUUCUUGGGCCUUACCCGGCAUCUAAGGUUCCCUUGCUUAAUUUAUUCUUUAUCUCAAUUUUUUUUUCCUUCACUUAUCCAUGUUCAAUAAAACCAUAUUUUACAAUUAUGACUUUGAAUUUACAACUCAUCUUUUAUAGUAAAUAUUUUUGUAAUUUAUUUACAAUACUUUAAAUGUAAAUAUUUAACAACUAAAUUUAUUAUUAUUAUUUAAGAUUAGUAAAAAUAUAAAUAUUAGUUAAAAUGAAUGAAGAUAAAUAUAUAGAUUUUAUAAUUUAAAAUAAAUAUUAAGUUAAUUCUAUUAAACAAUCCUAAUAUUAAAAGUAAUAAAUAAGUAAUAAAUUUUAAUUUAAUAAUUUAACUUAAAAUUAAUUUAAUCAAAUUAUUAAAUAAUAAAUAUUAAGUUUCAUCCCGGAAGUGAACGUUAAUCUCAACCACCUUGACACAAUUAAAUAUUGAACCAUAAGUUAACAUCGGAGCAUAUAAUUAAUUCAUUUCAAAGAUCACGGAAGAUCCUUUUGGUAACGUGGCUCCAUUGAUAUAGCAUUCUAUUUAUUGACCGCUACGUAUUAUAUAAAUUUAAAGAUCAUGGAGAGGAUCUUGUUGGCAAUCAUUCGUAAGGAGAAGGGCAGUUUCCUUCAUAAAAUAAUACACUUUGAAUAAAAGUAAUCUACACAACAUCAUAGCAGAUGCAAGCAAUUUUGGACGGAUUACGAAAGUCAAACCUACUGGGCCACGCCCGUUACAACAUCUCGAAAUAUGGUAGUAUAGAUAGAUGCUUAAGCUGGAAAAACACCGACAGAUCGAUCUAACCAUGGCGGUGCCACACUCCAGCAGUCUUCUUCAAUACCUAAAUAUUACCACGAUCGGAGUGCUUGGCAUACUUUUUCUUUCAUACUAUCUAUUAGUACGGAGAUCCAGAGCUGGUAAGAGAAGAAUAGCACCUGAAGCAGCUGGUGCAUGGCCAAUAAUCGGUCACCUACACCUCUUAGGUGGGUCACAGCUCCCUCAUGUAACCUUGGGAACCAUGGCCGACAAGUACGGACCGAUCUUCACUAUCAGGCUCGGGGUGCAUCG
rnacentral:lncRNA from 1 species